rnacentral:rRNA from 1 species
UGCGUAGGGCGCAAGCGUAUCCGGAAUUAUUGGGCGUAAAGAGCUCGUAGGCGGUUUGUCGCGUCUGCCGUGAAAGUCCGGGGCUCAACUCCGGAUCUGCGGUGGGUACGGGCAGACUAGAGUGAUGUAGGGGAGACUGGAAUUCCUGGUGUAGCGGUGAAAUGCGCAGAUAUCAGGAGGAACACCGAUGGCGAAGGCAGGUCUCUGGGCAUUAACUGACGCUGAGGAGCGAAAGCAUGGGGGAGCGAACAGG